rnacentral:rRNA from 1 species
CCCAGACUCCUACGGGAGGCAGCAGUGGGGAAUAUUGCACAAUGGGGGGAACCCUGAUGCAGCGACGCCGCGUGAGUGAAGAAGUAUUUCGGUAUGUAAAGCUCUAUCAGCAGGGAAGAUAAUGACGGUACCUGACUAAGAAGCCCCGGCUAACUACGUGCCAGCAGCCGCGGUAAUACGUAGGGGGCAAGCGUUAUCCGGAUUUACUGGGUGUAAAGGGUGCGUAGGUGGCAGGGCAAGUCAGAUGUGAAAGCCCGGGGCCCAACCCCGGUACUGCAUUUGAAACUGUCCGGCUGGAGUGCAGGAGAGGUAAGCGGAAUUCCUAGUGUAGCGGUGAAAUGCGUAGAUAUUAGGAGGAACACCAGUGGCGAAGGCGGCUUACUGGACUGUAACUGACACUGAGGCACGAAAGCGUGGGGAGCAAACAGGAUUAGAUACCCGAGUAGG